rnacentral:piRNA from 1 species
CAUGGGAAAAUUCCAGUUAGGGUUGGG